GGCGAGAUAGCUCAGUCGGUAGAGCAGAGGACUGAAAAUCCUUGUGUCGGCGGUUCGAUUCCGCCUCUUGCCACCA
rnacentral:tRNA from 1 species